rnacentral:pre_miRNA from 2 species
UCUUAUAGAUGAGCAAAGAAAGUAGUUUCUUGAGAUGGAAUCAACUCCUAGUGGAGAUGCUGUGAA